GCCAACAAAACAGAUGCCCAAAAAGUGACUGCCGCUCGUCUUAAUCCAGCCUGCCGACACUCUGCCCCUGUCCAAAACUGCAGCUUGGCAUUAUUGAGCAUGUCCUGUGCGUGUGUUUCGUCAUGUCUUGUCUUGUUUGCUCCUUGUUUGCUGUCCGCUCGGUUUUUGUGCCCGCUAUAAGGUCGUAAAAGUUUUCGUAAGCCAACAGCCAGCAGAGAGGAAGAAAAACUUGAGUUUUGUUUAUUUGUUGUUUCGCUUUUCCGCCUUUGUUUGCCGGGAGUUU
rnacentral:lncRNA from 1 species